AGGGGAUGCAGAAUCAAUGAAAGAGAUAAACAAACAUCAGAGUACUGUCAGACAUAGAGGACUGGAUAAUACAUUUGUGUCUUUCUACAUAGUGGUAUAGAAAUAUCAGGUCCCCAAAUUCCCAUUUUUCUUCCAAUCACAUUUAAAAUUUCAAUAUGUUGCAGGCAGCAUGUGUAAGAUUAUAUCCAAAUAUUUACUCCUGGUUGCUCCUCUUGGGCAAGCUUGUGAAUAUGAUCAAAAUAUUUAAAGAAGGAAGAAGGUAAAGAUCUAAAAUAUGACAUGAAAAUACCCAGAGAAGUGUGCCUAAAUUAGCAUUAGGGUUUGAGGGAUCCUAAGGAUGACAAAAAGGGACUCUUCUAUUGAAUUCGUGGUUGAUGCUCAGCGAUAGUAACAAUCCUGCCUCCCCUAACAUCUUCCUCCCCUUCCAGCAGCUUCACAGAACAUGGUUGAUGAGGUAACUUAGGGGAUGCACAGGGUGUGGCCAGAAGACCCCUUUCCCUAUAGACCACUAUGAGCCCUGAAAGAUUUAUGAGGUAAUGUUCACUUCAUCCUGUGCUUCUUUUCCUAGAUGUGAACUAUGAAGACUUUACUUUCACCAUACCAGAUGUAGAGGACUCAAGUCAGAGACCAGAUCAGGGACCCCAGAGACCUCCUCCUGAAGGACUCCUACCUAGACCCCCUGGUGAUAGUGGUAACCAAGAUGAUGGUCCUCAGCAGAGACCACCAAAACCAGGAGGCCAUCACCGCCAUCCUCCCCCACCUCCUUUUCAAAAUCAGCAACGACCACCCCGACGAGGACACCGUCAACUCUCUCUACCCCGAUUUCCUUCUGUCAGCCUGCAGGAAGCAUCAUCAUUCUUCCAGAGGGACAGACCAGCAAGACAUCCCCAGGAGCAACCACUCUGGUAAUCUAGAAUUCAGUGGCAGAAAAUAAAUAAGAAGAUAACUUCCUUCAGAAAGCCAUGACAUUGAAAUAAUGUGGUCAUAACUCUUU
rnacentral:misc_RNA from 1 species